rnacentral:rRNA from 1 species
AGAGUUUGAUCCUGGCUCAGGAUGAACGCUAGCUACAGGCUUAACACAUGCAAGUCGAGGGGAAACGACAUCGAAAGCUUGCUUUUGAUGGGCGUCGACCGGCGCACGGGUGAGUAACGCGUAUCCAACCUGCCCACCACUUGGGGAUAACCUUGCGAAAGUAAGACUAAUACCCAAUGAUAUCUCUAGAAGACAUCUGAAAGAGAUUAAAGAUUUAUCGGUGAUGGAUGGGGAUGCGUCUGAUUAGCUUGUUGGCGGGGUAACGGGCCCACCAAGGGCUACGAUCAGUAGGGGUUCUGAGAGGAAGGUCCCCCGACAUUGGAACUGAGACACGGUCCAAACUCCUACGGGAGGCA